AGAGUUUGAUCCUGGCUCAGGAUAAACGCUGGCGGCGCACAUAAGACAUGCAAGUCGAACGAACUUAACCAUUAGUUUACUAUUGGAGCGGUUAGUGGCGGACUGGUGAGUAACACGUAAGCAACCUGCCUAUCAGAGGGGAACAACAGUUAGAAAUGACUGCUAAUACCGCAUAUGCCUUGAGUAUCACAUGGUACAAAAGGGAAAGGAGCAAUCCGCUGAUAGAUGGGCUUGCGUCUGAUUAGAUAGUUGGUGAGGUAACGGCCCACCAAGUCGACGAUCAGUAGCCGGACUGAGAGGUUGAACGGCCACAUUGGGACUGAGAUACGGCCCAGACUCCUACGGGAGGCAGCAGUCGGGAAUAUUGCGCAAUGGAGGAAACUCUGACGCAGUGACGCCGCGUGCAGGAAGAAGGUUUUCGGAUUGUAAACUGCUUUAGACAGGGAAGAAACAAGACAGUACCUGUAGAAUAAGCUCCGGCUAACUACGUGCCAGCAGCCGCGGUAAUACGUAGGGAGCAAGCGUUAUCCGGAUUUAUUGGGUGUAAAGGGUGCGUAGACGGGAAAUUAAGUUAGUUGUGAAAUCCCUCGGCUUAACUGAGGAACUGCAACUAAAACUGAUUUUCUUGAGUGCUGGAGAGGAAAGUGGAAUUCCUAGUGUAGCGGUGAAAUGCGUAGAUAUUAGGAGGAACACCAGUGGCGAAGGCGACUUUCUGGACAGUAACUGACGUUGAGGCACGAAAGUGUGGGGAGCAAACAGGAUUAGAUACCCUGGUAGUCCACACCGUAAACGAUGGAUACUAGGUGUAGGGUGUGAUAAACAUUCUGUGCCGUCGCAAACGCAGUAAGUAUCCCACCUGGGGAGUACGGCCGCAAGGUUGAAACUCAAAGGAAUUGACGGGGGCCCGCACAAGCAGUGGAGUAUGUGGUUUAAUUCGACGCAACGCGAAGAACCUUACCAGGGCUUGACAUAUACAUGAAAGUCUAAGAGAUUAGACCCCUCUUCGGAGCGUGUAUACAGGUGGUGCAUGGUUGUCGUCAGCUCGUGUCGUGAGAUGUUGGGUUAAGUCCCGCAACGAGCGCAACC
rnacentral:rRNA from 1 species